CAGCGUGAGCACAGUGAGCCUCAGAGCUCCUCAUCACAUCUCAACAGAAUGAUCACUUCUUCCAGAUUUAUCUUCACAGCCUUUAUGGGCAAUGAAGUGCAGAUGAAUAUGGCUAAUUCUAACUAUGACUGGUACACUUAAUAAGAUCUCCUGAUGCAGUCACUGGAGAUGCACCAGGUGUAAUCUAAUGUCUCCUGUGCUGAACAAGAAAAGAGGGGGCAAUAAUGGAGAGAAAACAUGAGUAUCGGCUUCAUCUCAUUUCUGGUAAGUUAAACCAGCACUAAACUACUGUAUUCACUGUUUUCUGCAUGGUAUCCUAUUUUAAGUAGUAAUGAUGAGUUCACCUUAUCGCCGUUUACCCAUCAGACAAUAAAGUGGUGAGAAUGUGACUACUGAAUUGCGAGCUACAGCUUUAGUUUUGCCAACUACUACACAUAAAGGUUUAACACAUAGGCCACAAUUGUCAUCAUCAAGUGACAGUUUCCAUAUUUUACAGAUAAGAAGCACUAGCAGCAGUAAUGGAGAAACAUGAGUGUCUGCUUCCUCUUAUCUCUGGAUUUGGCCAGUUGAUUGAUCUGCCUGGUUGUGGGGAAGCCUCGUUGGAAGGUGUUGGAGGAACAUUUGGAGUUCUUUGCCAGAUCUGCGUGAUCAAAGUCUGAUUCAUUAUUAAUACAAUUUGUUUGCUGUGAAAAUA